AUUUUACAGAUGACACACUAAGGCGCAAGGCAGCUGCACAUCCACGGCCAGCCUCGUUGUCUUCAGGGAUUUGUUCAAAGUUCAUUCUGAAUUGUAAGGUAACCACUGCAGAACACGAGCCUUUCCUGGGUAUGUGUGGUAAGUGCUUCAUAAAUGCUGUUCUGAGGCUAGGUGCUAAUGGAGACGGGGCAGAUGAGUGGUAGAGUGAGCCCCGGUCCUAGGCCCAGUUCUGCAGCUGCUGGAGGAGCAAUCCAUCAGCCUGCUCCAGGCCCCGGCCCUCUCCUGGGAAACAAGUCCUUCUGCCAUAUGAGCUCCCUGAGGACUAAAUGGGACUGCGUUGCGGACUUAGUUGCUGGACACACAUGAUUUUGUCACCUCUGUACUAGUGUGACUGGGACCCACCUUCCAGGCAGAAUAAAUCCAUGCUGAAAUUGACUUGAUGUCUGUGCUGCUAUUCUUGGAG
rnacentral:lncRNA from 1 species